rnacentral:rRNA from 1 species
UUUUUCCUGCCACCGAAUACAUUAGCAUGGGAUAAUGGAAUAGGACCCUGACCUCCUAUUUUCAGUUGGUUUUGUUUACGCCAGGCCAUAUCCGGGUAAUGAUUAAUAGGGAUAGUUGGGGGCAUUAAUAUUUAAUUGUCAGAGGUGAAAUUCUUGGAUUUAUGAAAGAUUAACUUCUGCGAAAGCGUUUGCCAAGGAUGUUUUCCUUACUCCAGAACCAAAGUUAGGGGAUCGAAGACGAUCAGAUACCGUCGUAGUCUUAACCAUAAACCAUGCCCACCCCCGAUUAGGAGACGUUGAAUACCCAACACCGCUGCUAAUCCUUUCGGGGGUUAAUCCCCUGGUGAAUCACCCCCCCCCCCCCCCUGA